GAUGAACGCUGGCGGCGUGCCUAAUACAUGCAAGUCGAGCGAACAGACGAGGAGCUUGCUCCUCUGACGUUAGCGGCGGACGGGUGAGUAACACGUGGAUAACCUACCUAUAAGACUGGGAUAACUUCGGGAAACCGGAGCUAAUACCGGAUAAUAUAUUGAACCGCAUGGUUCAAUAGUGAAAGACGGUUUUGCUGUCACUUAUAGAUGGAUCCGCGCCGCAUUAGCUAGUUGGUAAGGUAACGGCUUGCCAAGGCAACGAUGCGCAGCCGACCUGAGAGGGUGAUCGGCCACACUGGAACUGAGACACGGUCCAGACUCCUACGGGAGGCAGCAGUAGGGAAUCUUCCGCAAUGGGCGAAAGCCUGACGGAGCAACGCCGCGUGAGUGAUGAAGGUCUUCGGAUCGUAAAACUCUGUUAUUAGGGAAGAACAAAUGUGUAAGUAACUAUGCACGUCUUGACGGUACCUAAUCAGAAAGCCACGGCUAACUACGUG
rnacentral:rRNA from 1 species